AUGCACGCUGGCGGCGUGCCUAAUCCCUGCAAGUCGCGCGCACGGACGAGAAGCUUGCUUCUCUGAUGUUAGCGGCGGACGGGUGAGUAACACGUGGAUAACCUACCUAUAAGACUGGGAUAACUUCGGGAAACCGGAGCUAAUACCGGAUGAUAUUUUGAACCGCAUGGUUCAAAAGUGAAAGACGGUCUUGCUGUCACUUAUAGAUGGAUCCGCGCUGCAUUAGCUAGUUGGUAAGGUAACGGCUUACCAAGGCAACGAUGCAUAGCCGACCUGAGAGGGUGAUCGGCCACACUGGAACUGAGACACGGUCCAGACUCCUACGGGAGGCAGCAGUAGGGAAUCUUCCGCAAUGGGCGAAAGCCUGACGGAGCAACGCCGCGUGAGUGAUGAAGGUCUUCGGAUCGUAAAACUCUGUUAUUAGGGAAGAACAUAUGUGUAAGUAACUGUGCACAUCUUGACGGUACCUAAUCAGAAAGCCACGGCUAACUACGUG
rnacentral:rRNA from 1 species